CAAAGUUAAAACUUUGUUUUUCUCGUAGUCGCGGGUGAGAUUUGGCGCCUAGAGCAUCCAGAGGCCUUAGCUCACCUUCUACUGCUAGUGUGGAAGGGUGAAAUCCCAGCUCCUACAGCC
ensembl:snoRNA